rnacentral:rRNA from 1 species
UACGAAGGGGGCUAGCGUUGUUCGGAAUUACUGGGCGUAAAGCGCGCGCAGGCGGCUAUCCAAGUCAGUGGUGAAAGCCCGGAGCUCAACUCCGGAACUGCCAUUGAAACUGUUUAGCUUGAGGACGAGAGAGGUGAGUGGAAUUCCCAGUGUAGAGGUGAAAUUCGUAGAUAUUGGGAAGAACACCGGUGGCGAAGGCGGCUCACUGGCUCGUAUCUGAUGCUCAGGCGCGACAGCGUGGGGAUCAAACAGG